AGUGAACGCUGGCGGUAGGCCUAACACAUGCAAGUCGAACGGCAGCACAGUAAGAGCUUGCUCUUACGGGUGGCGAGUGGCGGACGGGUGAGGAAUACAUCGGAAUCUACUUUUUCGUGGGGGAUAACGUAGGGAAACUUACGCUAAUACCGCAUACGACCUACGGGUGAAAGCAGGGGAUCUUCGGACCUUGCGCGAAUGAAUGAGCCGAUGUCGGAUUAGCUAGUUGGGGGGGUAAAGGCCCACCCAGGCGACGAUCGGUAGCUGGUCUGAGAGGAUGAUCAGCCACACUGGAACUGAGACACGGUCCAGACUCCUACGGGAGGCAGCAGUGGGGAAUAUUGGACAAUGGGCGCAAGCCUGAUCCAGCCAUACCGCGUGGGUGAAGAAGGCCUUCGGGUUGUAAAGCCCUUUUGUUGGGAAAGAAAAGCAGCAGGUUAAUACCCCGCUGUUCUGACGGUACCCAAAGAAUAAGCACCGGCUAACUUCGUG
rnacentral:rRNA from 1 species